rnacentral:rRNA from 1 species
GAUGAACGCUAGCUACAGGCUUAACACAUGCAAGUCGCGGGGCAGCAUGAAUUUAGCUUGCUAAAUUUGAUGGCGACCGGCGCACGGGUGAGUAACGCGUAUCCAACCUGCCCUUGUCCACGGGAUAACCCGGUGAAAACCGGCCUAAUACCGUAUGUUGUCACAUGCUGGCAUCAAAGUGUGACAAAAGGUUUGGCGGACAAGGAUGGGGAUGCGUCCGAUUAGCUUGACGGCGGGGUAACGGCCCACCGUGGCGACGAUCGGUAGGGGUUCUGAGAGGAAGGUCCCCCANAUUGGAACUGAGACACGGUCCAAACUCCUACGGGAGGCAGCAGUGAGGAAUAUUGGUCAAUGGGCGCGAGCCUGAACCAGCCAAGUAGCGUGCAGGAUGACGGCCCUAUGGGUUGUAAACUGCUUUUGUGCGGGGAUAAAGUGUGCCACGUGUGGCAUAUUGCAGGUACCGCAUGAAUAAGGACCGGCUAAUUCCGUGCCAGCAGCC